CAACAAAUUAAAGUUAACCAAAAAAUAAUAAUCAUGACAAUGUAUUUCUCAUCACAUCAUCACUUUCUCCUUUGCCUCUUCCUAUUUAGUUUUUUAUGUGUUAAUUCACAAAGCUCUUAUGUUGUGGUCUUAAUAAAUGAAAGUCAAAAUAAUGUGGCUACAGAACAAUGUUAUGUAAAUUAUGAAAUACAUCCUGGAGAGGAGAUCUUAUUAAAACCAGGAAUGUCUGAUCACAUAACCACAACCUUUCAUCCUGGAAAAAGUAACACACUUUCUUGUAACUUACAAUUAGGGGAAAAAUAUGUGGAUUUUUUCACGUUGUUUGAUUCGGACGACGCAAGUAUUUGCCACAAUCCUAGUGAAGAAUGUCUAUGGAAAAUACAUGAAGUUGGACUAUGCAUGUUCUCCCAAGAGGCACUUUGGAAGAAAAUGAUGUUACAUUAUCCUUUCACUUAACAUGAUUGUGGAUGCAUCAUUAUCAAAAGGGGUAGAAUGUGCAAACAAAGGUGAUCUCGUACAAGGGGAAUUCAAACCUAAAACAAUAUUUUAUUAGGAAUGAAAAAAUAUUUAUCACUCCAUCAUAAUUAUUUAAGUCAGCUCAUACAAUCAAGUGCAUUAAAUUGAUACCCUCAUUCAUGAGAUUUUUAUUUUGUAUAAGAGACCUUGACCGGUGGAGAAAGAGACAUUUAGUGGCAAUAAAUUUUUAUGUAGAUAUAUUUAGCGAUAAUUGGGUUAAUAUUGUUGUAUUUAGAAUUGUUAAUAUUUUAGUUGCAUUUUAUGGAACAUUGAUUAUAAAUAUUCAUAUUA